rnacentral:rRNA from 1 species
UACGUAGGGGGCGAGCGUUGUCCGGAUUUAUUGGGCGUAAAGAGCGUGUAGGCGGCCAGGUAGGUCCGUUGUGAAAACUCGAGGCUCAACCUCGAGACGUCGAUGGAAACCAUCUGGCUAGAGUCCGGAAGAGGAGAGUGGAAUUCCUGGUGUAGCGGUGAAAUGCGCAGAUAUCAGGAAGAACACCUAUGGCGAAGGCAGCUCUCUGGGACGGUACUGACGCUGAGACGCGAAAGCCAGGGGAGCAAACGGG